rnacentral:pre_miRNA from 1 species
AGAAUACUCCCUCCGUUCGAAAUUACUUGUCACAUAAAUAGAUAAAAAUAGAUGUAUCUAGAAGCAAAUACAUCUAGAUACAUUCAUUUCUUCGACAAGCAUUUCUGGAUGGAGGAGUAUAAG